AUUGAACGCUGGCGGCAGGCUUAACACAUGCAAGUCGAACGAGUGGCGGACGGGUGAGUAAUGCUUGUGAACCUACCUUGUAUAGGGGGAUAACUACCCGAAACUAUAGCUAAUACCGCGUACCAUAGGAUGAGCCCAUGUGGGAUUAGGUAGUUGGUGAGGUAAAGGCUCACCAAGCCGACGAUCUCUAGCUGGUCUGAGAGGAUGAUCAGCCAAACUGGGACUGAGACACGGCCCAGACUCCUACGGGAGGCAGCAGUGGGGAAUAUUGGACAAUGGGCGCAAGCCUGAUGCAGCCAUGCCGCGUGUAUGAAGAAGGCCUUAGGGUUGUAAAGUACUUUCAGCGGGGAGGCGUUACCCGAAGAAGAAGCACCGGCUAACUCCGUGCCAGCAGCCGCGGUAAUAC
rnacentral:rRNA from 1 species